AACAUACACUGCACAAAAUAUAAGUGGAAUGGUGGAUAGAACAACGAAGCUUUUCAAGAAACAACGUACUUCCAGCAGGCUUGUUAAAUCAGGGUUGUGGAUGGGGUAGAAGGCCUCUGAACAAGAAGAGUAGCUGUAAAUGCAUACCUGGACUUGCCUGGCCAUAAUUCAAGUCGAAUGCUUCUCAAAUACGCCAAAUACGAUUAGUGAGAAAGGAUGGAGGAAAUAUGACAAUAUGUACAAGCAAAGUAUACAUAUUUAUUAUAACAAAAGUGCUUUAAAAUUAAAAAGCCCAAGAGAA